rnacentral:rRNA from 1 species
GACAGAGGGUGCAAACGUUGCUCGGAAUUACUGGGCGUAAAGCGCGUGUAGGUGGAUUGGUGUGUCAGAUGUGAAAGCCCUGGGCUCAACCCAGGAACUGCACCUGAAACUACCAGUCUUGAGUGGUGGAGAGGGAAGUGGAAUUCCUGGUGUAGAGGUGAAAUUCGUAGAUAUCAGGAGGAACACCAGUGGCGAAGGCGGCUUCCUGGACACCAACUGACGCUGAGACGCGAAAGCGUGGGGAGCGAUCCGG